rnacentral:rRNA from 1 species
GACGAACGCUGGCGGCGUGCCUAAUACAUGCAAGUAGAACGCACAGUUUAUACCGUAGCUUGCUACACCAUAAACUGUGAGUUGCGAACGGGUGAGUAACGCGUAAGUAACCUGCCUGGUAGCGGGGGAUAACUAUUGGAAACGAUAGCUAAUACCGCAUAAUAUUGAUUAUUGCAUGAUAAUUGAUUGAAAGAUGCUAUUGCAUCACUACCAGAUGGACCUGCGUUGUAUUAGCUAGUAGGUGAGGUAACGGCUCACCUAGGCGACGAUACAUAGCCGACCUGAGAGGGUGAUCGGCCACACUGGGACUGAGACACGGCCCAGACUCCUACGGGAGGCAGCAGUAGGGAAUCUUCGGCAAUGGACGAAAGUCUGACCGAGCAACGCCGCGUGAGUGAAGAAGGUUUUCGGAUCGUAAAGCUCUGUUGUAAGAGAAGAACGGGUGUGAGAGUGGAAAGUUCACACUGUGACGGUAUCUUACCAGAAAGGGACGGCUAACUACGUG